CAACCCUCAAGCUCAGCUUGGUGUUGGGAGCCUAUAUUACUAUAGGUCCUGAAUUGUAGUGGCGGACUCAUAGCUGGCUCCGAGCGUAGUAGUUACAAACUCGCUGAGGAACGCCUGUGAAUCCAGCCAUUGACUAUUAUCAUUUACUCAAGU
rnacentral:misc_RNA from 1 species